rnacentral:hammerhead_ribozyme from 1 species
GCACUACUGAGGAGUCCCAUACUUGGACGAAACGGCCGUCCAGUGU